rnacentral:tRNA from 1 species
CAGGGAGGCAAUAACUCGCUUGUGGCGUCUAAGGAAUUUAUUCUUGGCCGCAAUCCUGUCACUUUAAGGUCGAUCGGUACGUCAGAUUUUAGAAUUCAUUUUAUAAUUAAUUCGUUCAUGUCAGUUCCUAAACUUGUCUAGGUCACACCCAACAAAGGUGUCUCGUGGCCCAUUAGCUCAGGUGGUUAGAGCGCACCCCUGAUAAGGGUGAGGUCCUUGGUUCAAGUCCAGGAUGGCCCAUUCGGUGUUGGGGGUUUAGCUCAGUUGGUAGAGCGCCUGCUUUGCAAGCAGGAUGUCAGCGGUUCGAGUCCGCUAACCUCCACUGACGAAUCUUCUGACAACGAGCCAAUGGUGAGAAUCGUUGUGUGAUGUGAUUUAGGAUUUAAGUUUGCUGGCAGACCCUAGCUUCUUAUCAUUCCAGGUCUCAAUCAAUUGAGAUGAGGUUGAUAGGACGCUGGGCUCACUGUAAUUCGCAAGAAUUGCAGAGAUGUUCAGCAGAACCUUGACAACUGCAUAGGUAAGUCUGGAAAGAAUAAAGCAUCUCAUGGAUGCAUGAUUCUUGGGAAUCAGCUAAUGCAAUCUGCGUCAGUAGAGGGCUGAGGUUGAUGAACGAGAAUAAUGUUUGAUUCUUGAGUCAAGAGCCGAGACUCUAUAGCGUUCUUUCGAUGUCAUCGAGGCAUCGAGAGUUUGAUUGGUCAUUCAAACCAUCUUCAAUGACAAAUAAUUCAGUUUAACUGGAGAAGUUUGAGAUUGAAGCCAGGUGAAUUGCUAAGAAUACGUAUUCAACUACGUGAAGCGUUAUAGAGAUUAAUU